rnacentral:rRNA from 1 species
GAGUUUGAUUAUGGCUCAGGAUGAACGCUAGCGGGAGGCCUAACACAUGCAAGCCGAGCGGGAUUUGUUGGUUAGCUUGCUAACUAAUAAUGAGAGCGGCGUACGGGUGCGUAACACGUGUGCAACCUGCCUUUAUCUGGGGGAUAGCCUUUCGAAAGGAAGAUUAAUACCCCAUAAUAUAUUAAUUGGCAUCAAUUGAUAUUGAAAGCUCCGGCGGAUAGAGAUGGGCACGCGUAAGAUUAGCUAGUUGGUGAGGUAACGGCUCACCAAGGCUGCGAUCUUUAGGGGGCCUGAGAGGGUGAUCCCCCACACUGGUACUGAGACACGGACCAGGCUCCUACGGGAGGCAGCAGUGAGGAAUAUUGGACAAUGGGUGAGAGCCUGAUCCAGCCAUCCCGCGUGAAGGACUAAGGACCUAUGGUUUGUAAACUUCUUUUAUACAGGGAUAAACCUACUCUCGUGAGGGUAGCUGAAGGU